rnacentral:rRNA from 1 species
CAUGCAAGUCGAACGAGGUAGCAAUACCUAGUGGCGCACGGGUGAGUAACGCGUGGAUAAUCUGCCUUUGAGUGGGGGAUAACUAGUCGAAAGAUUAGCUAAUACCGCAUAAGACCACAGGAUCUGAGGAUCUAGGGGUUAAAGGUUUUUCGCUCAUAGAUGAGUCCGCGUGAGAUUAGCUAGUUGGUGAGGUAACGGCUCACCAAGGCGACGAUCUCUAACUGGUCUGAGAGGAUGAUCAGUCACACUGGAACUGAGACACGGUCCAGACUCCUACGGGAGGCAGCAGUAGGGAAUAUUGCACAAUGGAGGAAACUCUGAUGCAGCGACGCCGCGUGAGUGAUGAAGGCUUUCGGGUCGUAAAGCUCUGUCGCAGGGGAAUAACACAAUGAAUGUACCCUGUAAGAAAGGAUCGGCUAACUUCGUGCCAGCAGCCGCGGUAAGACGAGGGAUCCUAGCGUUGUUCGGAAUUAUUGGGCGUAAAGCGGGUGUAGGUGGCUUUGUAAGUCAGGUGUGAAAGCCUAGGGCUCAACCCUAGAAGUGCAUUUGAUACUGCGAAGCUUGAGUGUUGGAGAGGAUAGUAGAAUUGUUGGUGUAGUGGUAAAAUACGUAGAUAUCAACAGGAAUACCGGAGGCGAAGGCGGCUAUCUGGCCAAACACUGACACUGAGAUCCGAAAGCGUGGGGAUCAAACAGGAUUA